UUUCCUGAGAAAGGGGGUGGUUUUCGUGAUGCCAGAUUUUUUUCCCCAUCUUGCGCUCCGUAGUUGUAAUGUGUUUAUGCGAUUCAGUGGAAGCUGGUGUUGUUAGCUGCAGGUACAGGACGAGAAUGGCGCAGAAUGUUCAGAACGUGACCCUGUCUCUGCCUCUCCCCAUAACGUGUCAUUUCUGUCUGGGAAAGAUAGUAUACAAGCAUCCUGUUUAAGGAAUUUGAACAAAAAAUACCUUUUCUACCCCAUUGUUCAUUAAAGG